rnacentral:rRNA from 1 species
GGUGAACGCAGGCGGCGUGCCUAACACAUGCAAGUCGAACGAAGCGCCUUUUAAGAUUCUUCGGAUGAUUGAUUGGUGACUGAGUGGCGGACGGGUGAGUAACGAGUGGGUAACUUGCCCUGUACAGGGGGAGAACAGUUGGAAACGGCUGCUAAUAACGCAUAAGCGCACGAGAGGACAUGCUCUUGUGUGAAAAACUCCGGGGGUACAGGAUGGGCCCGCGUCUGGUUAGCUGGUUGGCAGGGUAACGGCCUACCAAGGCGACGAUCAGUAGCCGGUCUGAGAGGAUGAACGGACACAUUGGAACUGAGACACGUUCCAAACUCCUACGGGAGGCAGCAGUGGGGAAUAUUGCACAAUGGGGGAAACCCUGAUGCAGCAACGCCGCGUGAGUGAAGAAGUAUUUCGGUAUGUAAAGCUCUAUCAGCAGGGAAGAUAAUGACGGUACCUGACUAAGAAGCUCCGGCUAAAUACGUGCCAGCCGCCGCAGUAAGAC